rnacentral:pre_miRNA from 1 species
AAUAAAUAUAGUUUUGCACUAUUCAUGUUCAAUGUCUGUUCAUCUUACUUGAAUUUUUUAUUAGUAUUAUUAUUAUUAUUAAAUGAUAAAAAUAUGAAUAGUACUUUAUACGUGAGUCUUUUUUUUCAUAAAUUUUUCAAAUAAUACGGACAGACAAACGUUGGAUACGAAUAUCCAUGGCUACACUUAUC